AUUGAACGCUGGCGGCAGGCCUAACACAUGCAAGUCGAACGAGUGGCGGACGGGUGAGUAAUGUCUGGGAAACUGCCUGAUGGAGGGGGAUAACUACUGGAUACGGUAGCUAAUACCGCAUACCAUCGGAUGUGCCCAGAUGGGAUUAGCUAGUAGGUGGGGUAACGGCUCACCUAGGCGACGAUCCCUAGCUGGUCUGAGAGGAUGACCGGCCAAACGGGAACUGAGACACGGUCAAGACUCCUACGGGAGGCAGCAGUGGGGAAUAUUGCACAAGGGGCGAAAGCCUGAUGCAGCCAUGCCGCGUGUAUGAAGAAGGCCUUCGGGUUGUAAAGUACUUUCAGCGGGGAGGCGUUACCCGCAGAAGAAGCAACGGCUAACUCCGUGCCAGCAGCCGCGGUAAUAC
rnacentral:rRNA from 1 species